rnacentral:rRNA from 1 species
GUGGGGAAUAUUGGGCAAUGGGGGAAACCCUGACCCAGCAACGCCGCGUGAGGGAAGAAGGUUUUCGGAUUGUAAACCUCUGUCCUUGGUGACGAAGGAAGUGACGGUAACCAAGGAGGAAGCCCCGGCUAACUACGUGCCAGCAGCCGCGGUAAUACGUAGGGGGCAAGCGUUGUCCGGAAUGACUGGGCGUAAAGGGCGUGUAGGCGGCCGAUUAAGUCUGGAGUGAAAGUCCUGCUUUCAAGGUGGGAAUUGCUUUGGGGAAUGGUUGGCUUGAGUGCGGAAGAGGUAAGUGGAAUUCCCAGUGUAGCGGUGAAAUGCGUAAAGAUUGGGAGGAACACCAGUGGCGAAGGCGGCUUUCUGGACGGUGUCUGACACUGAGGCGCGAAAGCCAGGGGAGCGAACGGGAUUAGAAACCCGUGUAGUCC